AUGGCCCACCACGAAGCCGUGAGUGCCCUGAGGCACGCGGGAAGUUGCAUUAAGAUGAAAGUGCUGAGGGAGAAGGGGCUGCCAAUCCAGGUUUGUGUCCAGGACAACCCAGCUGCCCGGGAGACGGGUGUAAAGUUGAGUCCAGAGCGAUUCCACCACGAGGAGGUGGGAUGCCAGACUCCCAAGGGCGUGCACACGCACACGCCCGGGAGGGUCGAUAGUGUGUCCUGUAAUGGAAACUUAGAUCUGGAGAUGGAACCGAGCUGGAAGUUAUUCCGACAGGAGCCAGACGCACGGACGAUAACAAACCCCUUUGAAGGGGAGAAAGGCACCAUGACGCCUCCACCUGGUAAACCUAUCAACAGAAGGCACAACCACGCAGACAACCAAUUAGCAGCCAAUCAACCCUCUCUCAACUCACCAUCGAGGUUGUCUAGCCAGUGGAUGCUGAGUAUUAUGGGACAGCAUCCGGGAAAGCGAGCCAAUCCCUUACUUCCUAUCCCUCGGAUUAUCCUGACACAUCCGUCCACCUCGGACGAUGACGUGGACACCUCGUCUCAGGGGGCUGAGGGAGAGCUGUUGCUAGCCGACUCUGCUUCGGCUGAUGUUCACGUCCAGUCUGGUACCUCAAAGAGCCCUCACUACCCGCCGUGA
rnacentral:lncRNA from 1 species